rnacentral:rRNA from 1 species
GAUGAACGCUGGCGGCGUGCCUAAUACAUGCAAGUCGAACGAAACUUCUUUAUCACCGAGUGCUUGCACUCACCGAUACAGGGUUGAGUGGCGAACGUGUGCGUACCACGUGGGCAACCUGCCCACAAGAGGGGGAUAACACUUGGAAACAGGUGCUACUACCGCAUAACCAUAGUUACCGCAUGGCACCUAUGUAAAAGGUGGCUAUGCUACCGCUUUUGGAUGGGCCCGCGGCGCAUUAGCUAGUUGUUAGGGUAAAGCCUUACCAAGGCAAUGAGGCGUAGCCGAAUUGAGAGGUUGGUCGCCCACAUGGGAGCGGGGACACGGACCAAACGCCUACGGGAGGCAGCAGUAGGGAACCUGCCACAGUGGGCGAAACCUGAUGGAGCAACGCCGCGGGGGUGAAGAAGGUCUUCGGAUCGGAAAACCCUGUUGUUAGGGAAGAAAGUGCGUGCGAGUAACUGUUCACGUUUCGACGGUAACUAGGCAGAAAGCCACGGCUAACUACGUG